AACAUAACAAAACAUAUUUCUUGUUUGAUUAUCAUAAAAAAUUCUUCCUUUCGAGUAUGAAUAACAAAACGUAUCCUUCUACAGAAGAGGACAAUUGGAAUGAUGAUCAAUUUACAGCUAGGUACAUGAUUCAAACUCUGAUCGCUGCUGCUGUGAUGACUGUUCUUUUCUUUCUGAUGUUUGCACUUAUGAAAAUUUGGAGAAAAUGGGCAAAGAAGAGAGUUCCCAAUUCCGACAAUGUUGAACCGAGAGAGAUUUAAAGUCAGUAUGUUAUUUAAUGAAAAAUAUAAUAUUAAAUAUAAUGAAUAAAAUUAAAUAUUUCUUUUUCUUUUAUUUAGAAGAGACUGAGUUUCAAACUUUCAACAUGCUGUUUUAUGCCGUAUUAUAAAAGCUCAUGGUAAUCUGGUCAUUGCCCCUUGCAAUUAA